rnacentral:rRNA from 1 species
AUGAACGCUAGCGACAGGCUUAACACAUGCAAGUCGAGGGGCAGCAUGAUUUGUAGCAAUACAGAUUGAUGGCGACCGGCGCACGGGUGAGUAACGCGUAUGCAACUUACCUAUCAGAGGGGGAUAGCCCGGCGAAAGUCGGAUUAAUACCCCAUAAAACAGGGGUCCCGCAUGGGAAUAUUUGUUAAAGAUUCAUCGCUGAUAGAUAGGCAUGCGUUCCAUUAGGCAGUUGGCGGGGUAACGGCCCACCAAACCGACGAUGGAUAGGGGUUCUGAGAGGAAGGUCCCCCACAUUGGUACUGAGACACGGACCAAACUCCUACGGGAGGCAGCAGUGAGGAAUAUUGGUCAAUGGCCGAGAGGCUGAACCAGCCAAGUCGCGUGAAGGAAGAAGGAUCUAUGGUUUGUAAACUUCUUUUAUAGGGGAAUAAAGUGGAGGACGUGUCCUUUUUUGUAUGUACCCUAUGAAUAAGCAUCGGCUAACUCCGUGCCAGCAGCCGCGGUAAUACGGAGGAUGCGAGCGUUAUCCGGAUUUAUUGGGUUUAAAGGGUGCGUAGGUGGUGAUUUAAGUCAGCGGUGAAAGUUUGUGGCUCAACCAUAAAAUUGCCGUUGAAACUGGGUUACUUGAGUGUGUUUGAGGUAGGCGGAAUGCGUGGUGUAGCGGUGAAAUGCAUAGAUAUCACGCAGAACUCCGAUUGCGAAGGCAGCUUACUAAACCAUAACUGACACUGAAGCACGAAAGCGUGGGGAUCAAACAGGAUUAGAUACCCUGGUAGUCCACGCAGUAAACGAUGAUUACUAGGAGUUUGCGAUACAAUGUAAGCUCUACAGCGAAAGCGUUAAGUAAUCCACCUGGGGAGUACGCCGGCAACGGUGAAACUCAAAGGAAUUGACGGGGGCCCGCACAAGCGGUGGAGUAUGUGGUUUAAUUCGACGCAACGCGAAGAACCUUACCAAGUCUUGACAUCCCGAUGACAGAGUAUGUAAUGUACUUUCUCUUCGGAGCAUCGGUGACAGGUGGUGCAUGGUUGUCGUCAGCUCGUGCCGUGAGGUGUCGGCUUAAGUGCCAUAACGAGCGCAACCCUUAUCACUAGUUACUAACAGGUGAAGCUGAGGACUCUGGUGAGACUGCCAGCGUAAGCUGUGAGGAAGGUGGGGAUGACGUCAAAUCAGCACGGCCCUUACAUCCGGGGCGACACACGUGUUACAAUGGCAUGGACAAAGGGCAGCUACCUGGUGACAGGAUGCUAAUCUCCAAACCAUGUCUCAGUUCGGAUCGGAGUCUGCAACUCGACUCCGUGAAGCUGGAUUCGCUAGUAAUCGCGCAUCAGCCAUGGCGCGGUGAAUACGUUCCCGGGCCUUGUACACACCGCCCGUCAAGCCAUGAAAGCCGGGGGCGCCUAAAGUCCGUGGCCGUAAGGAGCGGCCUAGGGCGAAACUGGUAAUUGGGGCU